CCCAUUCUAGACUGGGGACGCGGACGUGACGUUUAUGUCAGUCGCUUCUGGCAGAGUGGUGCGUGUAGGGGGGGUGUAUAAAACAGAGGAUUGAGAGAGAAAGAGAAAGAAGACAGAAUAAGCGUGAGCUUUACCAGAACAUAAGAGAGUUGACCUUAAAUAAGAACUGAGAACAAGAAUUCAACCGGAGGUUUUACAAGAAAAAUGAUUUUCACUGAGCAGGAAUAAGAUUAC
rnacentral:misc_RNA from 1 species